rnacentral:tRNA from 1 species
UCCCAGAUAGUGUAAUGGCAGCACAGCAGACUCUGAAUCUGUUGGUCUAGGUUCGAAUCCUAGUCUGGGAG